rnacentral:misc_RNA from 1 species
UCCGGUUUGUCACCGGCAGUCAUCUUAGAGUGCCCACCAUUAUGUGCUGGCAACUAACAUCAAGGGUUGCGCUCGUUGCGGGACUUAACCCAACAUCUCACGACACGAGCUGACGACAACCAUGCACCACCUGUCUCCUCUGUCCCGAAGGAAAGCUUCAUCUCUGAAACGGUCAGAGGGAUGUCAAGACCUGGUAAGGUUCUUCGCGUUGCUUCGAAUUAAACCACAUACUCCACUGCUUGUGCGGGUCCCCGUCAAUUCCUUUGAGUUUCAGUCUUGCGACCGUACUCCCCAGGCGGAAUGCUUAAUGUGUUAACUUCGGCACCAAGGGCAUCGAAACCCCUGACACCUAGCAUUCAUCGUUUACGGCGUGGACUAC